CCUCCCCUUCUUCCCAAUUUUUAGAGUUUCUUUCUCUCUCUUCCUCCCGUUUUCUCUAUCCUUCAGCAAAUCCUCUGUAAGAGUUUUGAUUCACAUAUUCAUCUUCUCCAACAUCUUUGAUUAUCGUCAUGUUCCUUCAUAUUCUUUACGAUUUUCCGUCUCUCUCAAUUCACGCACACAGCCGCGUUUCAGUCGGCUGGUUGCUGCAGGUUUAUUGGCAAAAGCUAGUAGUUGCAGACCUGAUGCAGAAUGUUUGAAGCUGGAAUUUUAUGCUUUUUUAUUAAUUAAUGCUGGUUGUUUCUCGUUCAUUUCCAACUUUUGUUUUUGGUUGGUAUGUUUGCCUAGAGAAAUUUUAUUUGGAGGUUUAUCAUUAGCUCUUUUCCGUUCUUCUCGGUGUGGAGGGCCUCUUUUGUUGUUGGUUGUUUGUUUAUGAAAGGCUGGUCUGAAGUAUUGUUUGUUUUGUGCAAGUGCCGAUCUGAAUUCAAUUGUUCAAAGUUGAACUUUUGUAGCAGGGUCAGUUCAGAUUUCCUCUUAAAAAUAUCAUGUUGUCUUUCUUAGUAAAGCCUAUUAGCUCAAUUGGUAGAGCUUUGUGCAUUGUACAAUGAUGUAGGUUCGAAUCCUACAUAGGAAAGUUUUGGUACUUUGCAUAAGAUGAUAAUUCCCUAUUUGAUAAUUCUUUACUUUUAAAUCAGUUAUAUUUA